rnacentral:rRNA from 1 species
AAUAGAUACCCGGUAGUCCACGCCGUAAACGAUGAGUGCUAAGUGUUGGGGGUUUCCGCCCCUCAGUGCUGCAGCUAACGCAUUAAGCACUCCGCCUGGGGAGUACGGUCGCAAGACUGAAACUCAAAGGAAUUGACGGGGGCCCGCACAAGCGGUGGAGCAUGUGGUUUAAUUCGAAGCAACGCGAAGAACCUUACCAGGUCUUGACAUCCCGGUGACCACUAUGGAGACAUAGUUUCCCCUUCGGGGGCAACGGUGACAGGUGGUGCAUGGUUGUCGUCAGCUCGUGUCGUGAGAUGUUGGGUUAAGUCCCGCAACGAGCGCAACCCUUAUUCUUAGUUGCCAUCAUUCAGUUGGGCACUCUAAGGAGACUGCCGGUGAUAAACCGGAGGAAGGUGGGGAUGACGUCAAAUCAUCAUGCCCCUUAUGACCUGGGCUACACACGUGCUACAAUGGACGGUACAAACGGUUGCCAACCCGCGAGGGGAGCUAAUCCGAUAAAACCGUUCUCAGUUCGGAUUGUAGGCUGCAACUCGCCUACA